rnacentral:lncRNA from 1 species
AGCUGUGCAGGUGCUCCAACUUGUCAACGCCAUCCACGGUGAUGCCGUGGUGUUGCCACGGUGAUGCCAAAGAUUACCCAAAAUUUUUCAAACCUAGGGUUUAGGAAACCCUAAAUAUGCUUCUAAUUUGAUUUUAUACAUUGACUCACAUAUUCCACAUAACAAUUUAAUUGUGCGCUGCAUGAAACAAAUAUAUAAACAUAUACAAUAUAUAUAUCGUAAGGAAAAUAUAAACAUAGAGGGGUUCAUGCAUCAUGGGGAAUAUUUUCAUGCUUCAUGGACGUUUCAAAUAUCUUUUUUUAUUUUAAGCGUACCUGAUUAAUAGAAAACAAAAAUAAGCCUUUGAAUUUGGUGGAUGAUAGCCUCCUCCUACAAUGCGUUAAUUUCUCAGCUUUUGGCAAGAGUGUGCUGAUAAUGUGUUGUACGCCUAUUUGAUUGAACGAUCUAAGGUUUAGAGAGAAGAUAGAUUGAUUUAAUUGUGAGAUGAUGUUUGAUUCACCCCAUUAUGCCUUUAUUUAUAGUAGUAGGAUAGGUAAAAACCUUUCCCUUUAGGAUUACAAUAUUUAAUAGGUAAUCAACUCCUAAUAGGAAUAUAAGAUACAUUCCCAUAUCCACUAAGAUUUAUACAAUCACAUUCCUAUUUUAAAUAUCACUGCAACAAAGGAUUCAUUUUAUUUGAACCCAUAUAACAUUUUUCUACAUCCAACUUAAACUUUAAAUAUGAAUUAUCUUGUUUGCCCUAUUGCAUAAUUACAAUCAAGUAUAAGACGAAAUUAAUAAUAAAACUAAAAUUGAUUAAUAAAUCCAAUAAUCAUACCCGACAUCAUGCAAUCUUUAUCUUACGUUAAUUAUGGCUGAAACCCUAAUCUCAUAGAGAAAAUAAGCUCUUUUUUAUUGAUGGAUGGUGAUUUUGAAGUUUUGAAUUCUCUAGCUAAGGUAUGAAUUGAUUUAUGCAAUUUUUUUCGUUUGUUUUUAGAGUUAAGGAACUGUUAACGUUGGGCCCAUUUAGGCCUACUGAACGACAUAAGCCCAAGGAAAGGCCAAGAAGCCCAAGGCCCAAAGAGCUCGAAGAGGGCCGACCCGAGUGCUUAGAUCGAUUGAGGCAAGAAAAAGGCUACUCGACCACACGGAGCAUGUGAGCGAGCUGACAACUUUAUAGCACAAGUAUCCAAGGGCAAAACUACUUAAGUGCUACUUAGACCAUUUAACAAGUAGUCAAGAUAGUACUUGGCAAGGCGGGCGGAGUAACCGAGUUCUAAGUGGGACGCUUGGGCCGCCUGAUCUUAAAAGACACGUUAUUUGACUUCUAGAACGUCACUUCACUGAUGAAGGCCUGCUCGAAUAGGUGAAAAGUUGUCAGUAAGCUAGUACAAGUGGUUGGCACAUUAAAUGCCAAUUUGGGAGACCUCAAGAGGGCGAGGCCCGUAUAAAAGGGUGUAGACCUCCAUUAUGGGGGUUGGACAGAUAAGAAGGAAUAGAGUGAAUGUAUGAGGCGAGCACCAUUUAGUCUUGAAAUUAAUAUAUAGAGAAUGACACAAUGGAUUUAGCCCAGUUUUGAUCGGUGAACCACUUACAUCUUAGAGUCCAUUUAAUUUCAACAGAUCUCAUGAGCCCAUCUAAAGUCAUUUAACUAAGUUUAUUAACCUUACAAUUUUGAGCAUUAGGAGGAACAAUAAUUCGAUGAUUGUGAAGUUUCUUACAUUUCUGUGCCCUCUUCGUAUGUUCUUUUAAAUUGCAUUUUUUACUUCUAAACUAAAUGUGUUUUAGGCAUCAGAUAAACUCUUUCGUCCUUUCUUGAUUAGCUUGUGCAAAACAUUAAUUUGCCCUGGAUGUUGGUGGUUGAUUGAUAGGAGCAUAUUUAUGCGCCUUAGUUAGCUAGUUCUUAUGCAUCUUUGUUAUGUUUUCUUCGUUAAAGU